GUGGCGACAAACUCCAGCACUAACUGGCAAGUGCAGCUAAUGAUAAGUCUAACAUGCUCUCUCUUGUUCUAAUUGAGGUAUGGAGACAUUGGAUUGGUUUGACAAGCACCACCACUUGAUGCAGCCAUAUAGUGGUCAUAAGUUCCCAAAUAGCAUGGAAUUGGAAGCACACAAAAGGGUUUAAAGGAUGCUCUUUCUUAGCUAACAAUGUAAUAGUUUCAGAUGAUGGGGCUUGCUCUCACGGACAGUGUAAUGGAGCAGUGCAUCCUCCCUGAUUUGUUUGCAUCAAAUCACAAGUUGUGAUCACCAUUGUACUGGCAGAUUCAAGGGUUUACCAAGCAGAGCAAGGCGAUCGCGAGCAGCGCCAUCAGGAUGAAGACAACGCCGCCGCACGCGCCAUUCCUACCAGCGAUCAGCGACUCCUCCCACGGCAGUAUCGCAUUCUUCUGGAGGUUAUCGCUCGGAUGGCUUCUCCCGGCGGAUUUGAGGCGCUCCAGCACCAGCGGGAACACGUCCCCGUGCGAAUGCUCUCCGAUCCACAGGUCGGAGUGUCCGUAGUCUUGAAUCACGAUUCGAGCGUGGCUGAGUCCAGGGUGAUGCCGCUUCAUGAAUCCGUGCGCGCGGAGAGAGGUCUCUGGAGUGACGAGAAUGGGGCGGCCGCCGGAGAUAUACGUGGUGUGGACUGCUAGCCUCUCCGGAUGAGCCAUGUAAGUCUCGUUUUUCCCCUCGUUGUCUACUACGUGUCCCGCGAGAACGAUUUUACGUGCGUGUGGCAAUGCUGCCAUUGAUAGAGUUUGCACUGCCUGCUUGGUCAACCAGUUGUGCGUUUCCAGUCUGACUUUCUCGUGCCAGAAUGUGUUGCCGAAUAUUCCUGAGAAAACAUUGCAUUCGUCACAGUGGCAGCGCUCCGUGCGUGGUAUCGCUCGAGCAAUUGCGCGGAGUAGCUUGUGUCGCCACGACAUCGGUUCUUCUUGCGGAGGACUUAUUGGUAUGACGAGCUUCUUUCCCAGGAUUGUCAUAGAAAUCUGUAGUAGAUAAACAACAAGACGUAAGUCUCCUUUUUUUUAUGGCUAACGCAAAAACUACUUACAGGAAUGAGAGGCAGAGUCAACUUGACGAGCGCUGAUGGAACCAAGUUGAAGAACAUGGACGAGUUUGUGCAAAUCAGUGAUGCUAUCGACGAUGGAGGUAUGUAUCCACCCAUCAAGCUCAUGUGAAUUGAGAGUCCCCCCAUGCAAUGAGCAAUAACGUGUGCUGCUACCGGCUUUCUCUUGACGUGGCUCAUCUUUGCAAAUGCUGUAAAAUUUUCCAGCAUUAAACUUUCUCGGUUUUUGACAGAGUGCACAUACCGGCUGGAAUGUCGAACCGAGCGACAUCAUCGAAAGUGAAAGAAGUUGGGGUCGGAUGCGAUGGAUGGAAACGUGUUUGCAAGAGCCAAGGUUCAUAGUCAUUCUCUAUAAGUGUUCUUACGAUGUCGUGGUUUUCCGUAGGGACACAGAAACUCUCUGUGGCAUAACCAUUGAGAAGCAAAACAAUUUUGAAGUUCUCAUCUUGAGCAGCACCCUUCGAGCACCAUUGCUUGCAGGUAAUGCGGGCACCAUCUCCUGCACAAGAAAUCUGUCACUGCCUGCGUAAAAGAGUCAAGUCUGUUUUUACCUGUGGCAAUCUCAUGAAGCACAUAGCUUGGAUAGUUUUCGGUCGAGUCUUCUGGUUUUGCCAUUUCCCGGCUUGUCGCUCUCGGUGUUCUCAUCAAGUACGUCCUAGCAAGUGUUUCCAGGAGUCGUCCUACAAACUCCCGCUUCCUUGGCCCUCGUAACAAUAUUAGGGACUUAAGUAACUCGGGAAGAGUUACCCGCACUUUUCCUUUCAAGGCAAUCGGUCUUGGUGAGUCCUGCUGAGCUCGAAACAACGAUAUGUAGUGUGGUUGCAUCAGAGUAACACAUUAGGCCGCUCAUGAAUGGUCGCAUCUCUUUCCUUCCGUCCAAGGUAUACCUUCAGAAACCAUAGUUUUCAAUGAGAUCAGAUUGACAGAAGAAAGGAUAACUUACCUGGUGCCUGUGUUUGUUGACAG
rnacentral:lncRNA from 1 species